rnacentral:rRNA from 1 species
CAACGCGAAGAACCUUACCAAGGCUUGACAUGAACCGGUAAUACCUGGAGACAGGUGCCCCGCUUGCGGUCGGUUUACAGGUGGUGCAUGGUUGUCGUCAGCUCGUGUCGUGAGAUGUUGGGUUAAGUCCCGCAACGAGCGCAACCCUCGUUCUAUGUUGCCAGCACGUGAUGGUGGGGACUCAUAGGAGACUGCCGGGGUCAACUCGGAGGAAGGUGGGGACGACGUCAAAUCAUCAUGCCCCUUAUGUCUUGGGCUUCACGCAUGCUACAAUGGCCGGUACAAAGGGUUGCGAUACUGUGAGGUGGAGCUAAUCCCAAAAAGCCGGUCUCAGUUCGGAUUGGGGUCUGCAACUCGACCCCAUGAAGUCGGAGUCGCUAGUAAUCGCAGAUCAGCAACGCUGCGGUGAAUACGUUCCCGGGCCUUGUACACACCGCCCGUCAAGUCACGAAAGUUGGUAACACCCGAAGCCGGUGGCCUAACCCCUUGUGGGAGGGAGCUGUCGAAGGGUGGGACUGGCGAUUGGGACUAAGUCGUAACAAGGUAGCCGUACCGGAAGGUGCGGCUGGAUCACCUCCUUUCUAAGGA